GCGUGAGUGAAGAAGGCCUUAGGGUUGUAAAGCUCUUUCACCGGUGAAGAUGAUGACGGUAGCCGGAGAAGAAGCCCCGGCUAACUCCGUGCCAGCAGCCGCGGUAAUACGGAGGGGGCGAGCGUUGUUCGGAAUUACUGGGCGUAAAGGGCGCGUAGGCGGGAUAUCGUGUCAGGGGUGAAAGUCCUGGGCUCAACCUGGGGACUGCCUUUGAAACUGAUAUUCUUGAGACCGGGAGAGGAUGGCGGAAUUCCCAGUGUAGAGGUGAAAUUCGU
rnacentral:rRNA from 1 species